rnacentral:pre_miRNA from 1 species
UUUUUAGCCUAAGUAGGUCCCAUGCGAUAUUUGGGACAUACUUAUACUAAAA